rnacentral:lncRNA from 1 species
CACACGAGCCCAACUUUGGUUGGUCAACCCAUGUGCAUCUAUGGGUAGGUUCAUAACCAGUUGUUUCUCUAAACAACUUCUAGUAAUUGAUUUUGCCCCAGAACCUAAUCAGUAGGCUUUGGCCUCCACUGAAAAGAUCUGGUUAGGUCCAACCAUUAACAUGAUUUGAUUUGAUGAAUCAGACCAAUAAAUGAUCAGGCCUGACUUUGGCCGGCCAAUCUGACCACCAUUAGAAAGACUCAAAUCAAAUUAUCAUAUUAUGAAUGAUAAUUCCAUUAGUCAAUAAGCACCAGGCCUUUGGGCCUCCAAUGAUUAUUAAACUAAUGGACUCAUUAUCACUCACUUAAUGGGAGGCUAUGACUUAGUUAUCAAUAUAACUUAAUCAUUUUUAGGGACCUAAUAAUUUUUGA